UUUGCAGAGUGCAGCCAGGGCAGUGGAAUCACAGUCCAACUUCACACAAUGUUCUCAUGCUCUCAGUGAGGUAUAGAGGCAGCAAAGAGCGGACAGAUUUCAAGCUUGGACUCUGAAGAAGGCAAUAGCUAUCAUGAUGAUGGACAAGCAUCAUUGGAAACCCCAGAGGUUCAAGGUAUAGGGAAGGUCGCAAGGCACCAAAGGGAAGAGGAUGGAAGAAAAAGAAAGAUGAUAAGAAAACUGCAGCACUGAGACAUCCCCAUCACAGCACGUGGCUGGCUGUGAUUGGCCACUAGCAACUGAGACCACGGAUAAGGAGGGACUUCUAUACUUAAAUUGUCCAAAGCCUAAGGACAAGUUCUGCUUCCUAUAGAUCUGAUCCACAUCCUUAUUUUCUUACCCUAAGUCUCGGGAAGGUUGAACAAAAUCUGUAUGCUUAUGAAGACAUUCCGCCUGACUUGGAAACUGAGCCAACCUAAGUCUUCUGAGCUUGAUUUUAAUAUUCAUGGUAAUAAUUUAUAAUAACAUAAUAAUAUCCAUGUAUUGAGCGCUUAUUAUGCACUAGGUAAGAGUUUGUAUGCAUUAUUUCAUUGAAUAUUUGCAAUAAACCUGUUAAACUUUAGAAAAAAUUUUAAUCUUGGUUUACAAGUUAAAGAAACUGAGGUUUAGAAAAAUCAAGUUAGCUUGAUUAAGAUCAGUCUACUAAUAAAUAAACAGAACUGGGAUAUGCCACCAAAUUUAGUCUAAUAUUGUUUCCAUCCUCUCAAAUAUAAUGCUAUAUGUUUGGUUCUACUUAAAUACUAUUAAGGAAUUAGUACAAAAGUUGGGAUUUUUUUCCCACAUUCCCAAUAUGGUUUAUGAAUUCCUCAAGCAGUUAGUAUUGAUAUUAUGGUAACUCUUACCACUAUUAAUAUAACAUCAAUAACAAUGCCCCUUGUAUACCAACUACACUUCUGGAAUAUUUAUUUAUACAUUUAAUCCUCAUAGCUAAUCUAUAAAGUAAGUGAAAAAAAAUUCCAUUUCUUCACAUACGGAAUCAAAAAUCUUAGUUUAAGGAAUUACUUUCAAAUUCCAUAGCUAUUAACCUAAACUUUGAUCCAGGUCUGACUCCAACACACACACUGUGAUACCCCUUGAAGGUAAUCUGACUACGACACUUAUCCAAAAGAAGUUCCUACUAAUCUAGUUGGCAUCCUAGUUGCUCUUGCCUUUCUCCAUAGACAUCCCUCUCUCCCUUCCAAAUGGUUGUGUUGCACUAAGGAGAAAGAUCACCUAAUGUGCAUGGAUCAUUCUUCAUCCAGUGAAAUGGAGAAUGGUGUUUCCCAUUAAGAAACAUCAAGCAAUGCAAUCAUUCACUGUUAUUUACAUUUUUUUCUGAACCCAUUCUCUAAUUAAACCUUACUUUCCUGAAAUGAAGUUCAUAAAUUACUACAUUAUUUUUAAACUUAUACUAUUAUCAAUAACAAUCCAUUAUGAAGAUCCCUGGGGUCCAUUUCUCAUGCAAAUUACACAGAAGUUGACAAGCAGAAAGUAAUUUAUCUUUCAAAUAUUUGUCCUAGGCAGUGACUCAUUCGAUUUGGUUUAAUUAACUCCCAAGUUAGCAAAAAGAGAAUUUUUAAAAAUAAAGAUUUACAUGUAAUUGGGUUAGGCCUGUUCUGAGUAAAUGUUUAUUAACCCCUGAAAUGCCUAAGAAUUGUUAAAUAUUGUUGCAAUUGAAACAGUAGAGAUCAUGUACAAAAUUACACCAAGGAUAAACUCUUAAGAUGCACCAAUUUUUUUUUUCAAGUUAAACUGCUGUAGAUGAGUUCCAUUUGAAUUCAUCUAUAACAUAGAAUUCAAGUUUUGGAGAUGCUGAGAUAAUAUUCCUUUGAGCAAAAUGUUCUACACUGUUCUAAUCAGCUGACUAGUUCUGUGGAAAACAGAACAGCCAGUUGAAGAGCAAACUGGUGAAUGAAUGAAAUGUCAGAUACACCAAAUAGAUUUUUCCUGCUAACAACAACGGAAGAAAGAUUCAAAAACAGGGGACAGUUUUUCUAUCUCAAAGGCUCACUAUGCUCCCCUCUGAAACUGUAUUGUAUUUUGCAGGAAGAAGCAAGAAGAAUUUCAAAAUUAAGCAGGGGGACAUGAUAAACAGAACGGGCUCACCACUGACAAAUGGCCUGCUCUCCCUCUCUUCUGUCCUGAACAUUACAGAUUCUCCCAGGAGUAUCUCUGUAAUUAGGAAGCAAACACCUUCUCAACCUCAAUUUUAGCACAUUUGAGACAUAUACAGUCACAAAAGCAGCAAGAAAGAAGCAUCUCUGAAGAUUUGGCAUGAUUGGUG